rnacentral:rRNA from 1 species
UACGGAGGGGGCAAGCGUUAUUCGGAAUUAUUGGGCGUAAGGGGCGCGUAGGCGGCUAGAUGUGUCAAAGGUGAAAUCCCUCGGCUCAACUGAGGAACUGCCUUUGAAACUGUCUGGCUUGAGGCCGGGAGAGGGUAGCGGAAUUCCCAGUGUAGCGGUGAAAUGCGUAGAUAUUGGGAGGAACACCAGUGGCGAAGGCGGCUACCUGGACCGGUUCUGACGCUGAGGCGCGAAAGCUAGGGGAGCGAAUGGG